UAGGACUCACAAAAGUGUGGGGCUUCUCUGUGAUUGGGUCCUCCUGGAGUUUUUAACUCUGAGGCUUGUCUACACCAAGCCUCCAGCAUUUCAUCGGUUACACUUUAGGUUUUCCUACCCCAGCACUGCUUCCUACAGAGGCUCUGUCUCAGUUUUCCAGCUGGGACAUAGUUUUUCUUCUGUCUUUCCACAUGGAUUCGAACUAACACCAUCAGCUCGCCUGCUUCUCAGACCUUCAGACUCAGAUGGAACUACACUAUAGGUUCUCCUGGGUCUGGACUUCUCAGCCUCCAUAAUCAUAUGUGGGAUUUGAGACCCAAAGAAGUGAAGUAACCUGCCCAAGUUUACACAGCUUGGAGUAGAACCCGAGUUUCUAUGGACUCCAGAGCUCAUGAGUUCACCACUUUUCUGUGCCUCCUAACUCUAUGCCGCUGAGGACUCAGAAGAAGCCAGUGCUAAUGCUUUCUCCAGUUUCUCUCCUCUUGUGUGAACUGUGUGAACUGCCACUUUAAGACUCUCUUGGAGAAUCAUAAUCCAAGUUGCGAAGUCCAACAAUUCCUCUGGAGAAAUGGUUCUCAACUGGGGGCAAAUUUGGGCCCCAGGAGACAUAUGGCAAUGUCUGACAAUGUUUUUUUGAUUGUUACAAACAGGUUGGGGAGAGAGUCCUGCUAGCAUCUAGUUGGUAGAGGCCAGGGAUAAUGCUGAACAGCCUGCAGGACACCCCGAACCCCAUCAAAGACCCAAAACGUCAAUGGUACUGAGGUUGAAAAACCCUGGUCUGGAGUUUUAAUCAGUUGGCCAUUUUUCCCAUCCCAUGUUGAAAUAUUUGUAUUUAAAACAUUACAUCUGGUUUAUUUUUUCAAGAUAAUGUCCAGUGUACAGUGGAAAAUGAUGUGUUUUCCUAUCACUUUGCUCAAGAAUAAAGCUGUAAUAUUUGCAAAAUAGAUAACCUUAGUUGUCACUCAAAAUGUAAACUGUCAUAAGGGAUAAGAGAUUAACUGAUUUCACUGUCAACCUUUACAGUGUCAUUAUUUUUCCCUGUAACUGUCUGCUUGAUAUCCUUGCUGACGAAGAUGUUUUAAAAUGGAAGACAAUUAGAGGCUUUAUGUUUAUGAAAAAUGAAGUGUUCACACACAAAAGAAUGCACAGUGGACCUUUUAUGGGAUGUUUAAAAUAUCCUUUCAUUAAAAGAUUUUCUUAAGUGGCUGUUUGUCACUUAAUAGGAAUCCCCGUUGUUGCUACUGUUGUUUUCAUGCAUAAAUACCAGCAUCUGUAGGUUUCCGGGGUGUUCUUUAGAAUUU
rnacentral:lncRNA from 1 species